GCUGGUGUGGCUCAGCAGGUAGAGCGGUUCACUCGUAAUGAACAGGUCGGCGGUUCGAAUCCGCCCACCAGCUCCA
rnacentral:tRNA from 4 species